rnacentral:lncRNA from 1 species
CCUAUCAAUUUGUGAUUAUGCAUUUGCACUCCAAUUGUUAUUAAGCUCGUGACUUUAUUUCUAACCCUAUCAUAAGGUAUAAAUAUAGUAUUUCGGUAUUGCCAUAAGAUAUGUAUGGUAUUCUGCCCCCCACAGGGUAUGUAUGAUGUUCUGACUCCACCAAAGGAUAUAAGUAUGGCAUUCUAAACCACUCUAUAGGAUAUUUAUAUGGUAUUCUG